AUGCACGCUGGCGGCGUGCCUAAUACAUGCAAGUCGAGCGAACAGACGAGGAGCUUGCUCCUCUGACGUUAGCGGCGGACGGGUGAGUAACACGUGGAUAACCUACCUAUAAGACUGGGAUAACUUCGGGAAACCGGAGCUAAUACCGGAUAAUAUAUUGAACCGCAUGGUUCAAUAGUGAAAGACGGUUUUGCUGUCACUUAUAGAUGGAUCUGCGCCGCAUUAGCUAGUUGGUAAGGUAACGGCUUACCAAGGCGACGAUGCGUAGCCGACCUGAGAGGGUGAUCGGCCACACUGGAACUGAGACACGGUCCAGACUCCUACGGGAGGCAGCAGUAGGGAAUCUUCCGCAAUGGGCGAAAGCCUGACGGAGCAACGCCGCGUGAGUGAUGAAGGUCUUCGGAUCGUAAAACUCUGUUAUUAGGGAAGAACAAAUGUGUAAGUAACUAUGCACGUCUUGACGGUACCUAAUCAGGAAGCCACGGCUAACUACGUG
rnacentral:rRNA from 1 species